UCAUUGCCGUACUGAGUACGUAUCCAACUACUUAUAUACUAGUAAGGGUGAAGCAUGGAAAACCAAGAUCAGUUAAGCUCAGGCUCAAGCAUUUAUCAGAUAAAUAUGGCGUGGUCCUAAGAUAUUCAGGGUGUAUAAUUGACCACCAUAUCCUAAUGGAUUCCCUAUUUGUAUUGUACCUCUUUCAAGAUCUAAGUCGAUUUUGUACUUAAAACAUAGAUCUGUGGAUCCAUAUGUUGACAAAAAGGAAAAAAGAAGAAGAGCAUAUGGAUCUAUAACUGUGUAUAUGUAAAUCAGAUUUGUAUGAUAAAUCUAUAAUAAUAAAGUUGACUUGAAACUUUCUCGUGAAACCACCUCAGCGAAGCAUGCUCCAAAAUGUGACACAUAGCAACUUUUCAUCAAAACAUGUUCUUUCGAUGAGUUAUUAUUAAUGAGUUCUGAUGUUAAUGUGAAAUUUAUUACGUUUUUAAACUUUUGGUCCAGUAGUUCUCAGUUUUUUUUUGUAUUCAAUGUUGAGGAUGAAAAGAAGAGCCCUCUUACGCUUUCCUGGCGUAACCUUUGUGCAAUCAAUCCAGAAAUCCCACUCAUCCCACUCUCUCCUAUUGAAUGUCACUUUCAUUAUUGCUUUUCAGAUUCAUUGAUUAUGUCUUUUAAGAACCGUUUACUUUUUCUAAUUCAGAGUUUUUGUUAUUUCUUGGUGAAACCUUUUGAUCAUGGUGAAUUCCAAAUUUCAUUGUUCAAGUUAGAGAUGUUGUUCAAACUAGGCUACAACAAUUUUGGUAAGCCGGAAAUGUUAAGAAAAGGGUGAGCUGAUGGAGUUGAUGUGUAGCUGAUCGAUGGGAAGGCGACGCUGCGUCAAUCAACUUUAACAAGCUUAACACCUUCAAACAUCUCUUGAAAGAAGGCUCCGUCUAGGAUCUGAGGGUUUAUGAUGUAACCAGAAGCGACCCGAACUUCACGUGUGAUGAUGAUGACCCUGUUUGUUGAGCUAGCUGAGACGACACACCAAAUCUUGAUGGAGAGCUUUAGGUUCCGCAAUUAGUACCAGCUCAUGUUGCUAGCCAACACAAACACAUAUUUGCUAGAUAUUGUAUGGAGGUUUUGGGUAUCAAAUCCAUCUUCAACAAAAAGAACCAAAGCACUCAGCGGAAUAUCGGUACCAUAAAAAUUAAAAGGUUUACCCAUCCCGUUCCGUCCCGUACCGCAGCGGGUUAGUCAUCGAGCGGAUCACAACGGGCAUGUCCCGUGCGGGCUGCGGUCUUCAAAAUGCCGGCCCAAACCCGUACCGCAGAAUUUAUAGGCCUUCGCGGGCCGUCCCGCAGGACGCCUCCUUAUCAAACCGCCUGCUAUAGCUUCUUUAAUGAAUUUUCAAGUAGAAGAGUUGUGUAAGAGAGUUGAAGAGAGCUCAUUAAGCUUCACUAAAGCCUUAUCAAAAUCAAUGCCACAAAGCUCCGUUUGUGCUUGCGUUCUUGAGUUAACAUCCUUCUUUUGUUAUCAGUAUAAGCUUUUGUUAAGUUUGAAUCUGAUUGAGUUGUUGUCUUUGUAAUAAUUUGGCUCAAGUGUUGUAUGUCUUCAUAAAACCAUCUCUCUUUUUAAUUAUUUGGAUUGCAAAAAAAUUCGUGAA